UGAGCCAUGAUCAAACUCUAUACGGGAGGCAGCAGUGGGGAAUAUUGCACAAUGGGCGCAAGCCUGAUGCAGCCAUGCCGCGUGUAUGAAGAAGGCCUUCGGGUUGUAAAGUACUUUCAGCGGGGAGGAAGGCGGUGGAGUUAAUAACUUCACCGAUUGACGUUACCCGCAGAAGAAGCACCGGCUAACUCCGUGCCAGCAGCCGCGGAAUACGGAGGGGCAAGCGUUAAUCGGAAUUACUGGGCGUAAAGCGCACGCAGGCGGUCUGUCAAGUCGGAUGUGAAAUCCCCGGGCUUAACCUGGGAACUGCAUUCGAAACUGGCAGGCUAGAGUCUUGUAGAGGGGGUAGAAUUCAGGUGUAGCGGUGAAAUGCGUAGAGAUCUGGAGGAUACCGGUGGCGAAGGCGGCCCCUGGACAAGACUGACGCUCAGGUGCGAAGCGUGGGGAGCAACAGGAUAGAUACCUGGUAGUCACGCCGUAACGAUGCGACUUGGAGGUGUUCCUUGAGG
rnacentral:rRNA from 1 species